GGGGGCGAUUUGGUUUCGACGUAAAUUGAGCAUUUAGAUGCUGCAUGCCGAGAGCUAACUCGUUAAACUGGCACUCGCACAAUAAGUGCAGAACCAAUCAAUCAACUUGCUGCCUAAAAUAGAGUAGCAACAUUGGAAAUAACUUUGCCUAUAGGGUUUUUUUCAAUGUCAUUUAUAUAGGCCUGAUAAAAAUGUUUUCUCUGACUUUUUAUUAGUAUUUAAGAGAAUCGAAGUAUCUUUUGUUUUUUAGCCACAGGGGAUAUUUUUAAAUUAAAGCUAAAAUAAGCAUGUAGAGGCUCUAUUUAGCUGAUUUCCGGACCUGGGUUCGAUUCCCAGCGCCUCCAA
rnacentral:tmRNA from 2 species